rnacentral:rRNA from 1 species
GAUGAACGCUGGCGGCGUGCCUAAUACAUGCAAGUCGAGCGAACGGACGAGAAGCUUGCUUUUCUGAUGUUAGCGGCGGACGGGUGAGUAACACGUGGAUAACCUACCUAUAAGACUGGGAUAACUUCGGGAAAACGGAGCUAAUACCGGAUAAUAUUUUGAACCGCAUGGUUCAAAAGUGAAAGACGGUCUUGCUGUCACUUAUAGAUGGAUCCGCGCUGCAUUAGCUAGUUGGUAAGGUAACGGCUAACCAAGGCAACGAUGCAUAGCCGACCUGAGAGGAUGAUCGGCCACACUGGAACUGAGACACGGUCCAGACUCCUACGGGAGGCAGCAGUAGGGAAUCUUCCGCAAUGGGCGAAAGCCUGACGGAGCAACGCCGCGUGAGUGAUGAAGGUCUUCGGAUCGUAAAACUCUGUUAUUAGGGAAGAACAUAUGUGUAAGUAACUGUGCACAUCUUGACGGUACCUAAUCAGAAAGCCACGGCUAACUACGUG